rnacentral:lncRNA from 1 species
GCAUAGUACUGAUUGCAGUAGGAGUCGGUGGGCCUCGAGUAGGUGGGCCUCCGUAGGGAGCCAGCGUGGAUCGAGUGCGGGGCCUGGACUUCCCGCCCCCUCCGCACUGCAGACUCUGCGGUGAUUUAAAGGUGCCUGGCGGUGGUACGGGAUCCAACUGUAAAAUGUCAUCCCAGCUAGUGUGACAUCACCACAGUUUAGUGUGACACCCCCAGAGCUUGGGCAGUGUACGGGACGACAGUGCCUAGCAGAGGAGCUUCACUGCCGGUGAGGGAUUACCUCAGAAACUUCCUUCUACUACUUAAAGUCCUCACAUUGGGCUGACCUGGGAAACAUGAAGAUAAAAAGAGUGGGUAAACAUGCCUGCUUGAUGAGCCAGAAAAAAAGGCAGAAACCUGUGGUCUGGGUAGAACAGAUCCUGCUCAGAAUGUAAGCUUCAAACAUGUUUAUCAUGCCUUGGUUCAACCUAACUCUCUGACAUGUUCCUAAACUCCUGCUCUCUCAAGUUAUGUCCCUUUCCUCUUUUCAAAUAUCUCUCAGAAUUCACCCUUUCGGGAACCUUUGCUGAUUGACUCCUAUUUUAUUUGAAUUCUGCAUCAUCAUCUGAUUACUUAAAUUAACCUGUACCUUCUUUAUUUAUACUUGUUAACUUCUAUUUUCAUUGCUCUUAGGUCCUCAGUCUUUCUCACUAUACGGAGAGCUUCUUAAAGUCUGUAUUUUCUCCUCUUUAGUAUCAUUCACUCAUUCAUCCAGCAAACUGCUUGUGUGCCUGCUCUGUGCUAUACACUCUUCUAGACACUGGGUCAGGUAUGAAUGAGACAGGUGAAUAAAGCAUGGUCUUUUCCCUCAGGGACCUUACAGUCUAAUGAGGAAAAAACGUGUGCAGACAUAUAUAAGAUAAGUGAGAGAGUCGGAGAAGAACAUCAGAAGUGAUAUUUGAGCAUAGUAAGGUCAAAGAAGUUUCAAAGUUUAGUCAUUUGUCCAUUCAGUAACUAUUUAUAGAGCAUCUUCUGUGUGCUAGGCACUAUAUAAGAAAUUAAGGGGCUGGGUGUGGUGGCUCAUGCCUGUAAUCCCAGCACUUCGGGAGGCUGAGGCAGGUGAAUCACCUGAGGUCAGGAGUUCGAGACCAGCCUGGCCAACAUGGUGAAACCCCGUCUCUACUAAAAAUACAAACAUUAGCCAAGUGUAGUGGCGCAUGCCUGUAAUCCCAGCUACCCUGGAGGCUUAAGCAGAAGAACCGCUGGAACCCAGGAGAAGAAGGCUACCAUGAGCCGAGAUUGCACCAUUGCACUCCAGCCUGGGCGACAGUGAGACUCUGUCUCAAAAAAAAAAAAAAGAAAGAAAGAAAGAAAUAAAAAAAAAAGAAAUUAAGGAUACACAGAAGAAAAGGCAUGGUCUGUGCCCUGAAGGAGCUUACAGUUAAGCAGAGAAGUUGCACGAUUUGGAAGUAGUAAGGUAAAUUGAGUCAGAUUUUGAAAGGCAAUGUAGAGCUGUUAGAAGUUUAUUCGCACAGGUAGCCAGGCACAGUGGCUCAUGCCUGUAAUCCCAGCACUUUGGGAAGCCAAGGUGGCAGAUCACUGGAGGUCAGGAGUUCAAGACCAGCCUGGCCAACACAGUGAAACCCCAUCUCUACUACAAAUACAAAAAUUAGCCAGAUAUGGUGGCAUAUGCUUGUAAUCCCAGCUACUCGGGAGGCUGAGGCAGGAGAAUCGCUUGAAUCCGGGAGGCAGAGGUUGCAGUGAGCCGAGAUCGUGCCACUGCAGUCUAGGCUGGGCAAACAGAGCCAGACUCUGUCUCAAAAAAGAAGUUUAUUCAGACAGGAAAGAAGGCGAGAAGGGGCAGAUAUGUGAAAUACAUCCUCCUAAACCAAGUCAGAGCAACUGGAGAGGGAGGUGGAGCAGUUAGCAAUCGGAAGCAUUCAAGUUUCAUUCAGGGUAUAAACCAGGAAAAGUUGUUCUGGCCCCUCAUCUGGUUUCAUGAAGGACAAUAUCUAGCAUGAGAGUGACAGGGGUUAGAAUAAUGGACAUUUUGGGGACUGGGUCCUAGCAGAAAUGAUGGAAUAAUGGAACAGGAGUUUGGAUGAAUGGGCAUAUUAUGGGAUUAAAGAAGAUUUGAAUACAAGCUUUCCUAAUAAAUGAAAGGGGAGGUGAAACUAGAGCAUGCUGAUGGCUGCACAGCAUUGUGAAUGCACUAAAUGCACUAACUGUCCACUUUAAAAUGUUUAGUAAUAUGUCGAUUUUACCUAAAUAAAAAAAAGGAAGCAACAU